rnacentral:rRNA from 1 species
GAAGUGGCAAACGGGUGAGUAACACGUAAACAACCUGCCUUCAGGAUGGGGACAACAGACGGAAACGACUGCUAAUACCGAAUACCUGAAGAGGGGUUUGCGUCUGAUUAGGUAGUUGGUGAGGUAACGGCCCACCAAGCCGACGAUCAGUAGCCGGUCUGAGAGGAUGAACGGCCACACUGGAACUGAGACACGGUCCAGACUCCUACGGGAGGCAGCAGUGGGGAAUCUUCCGCAAUGGGCGAAAGCCUGACGGAGCAACGCCGCGUGAGUGAUGACGGCCUUCGGGUUGUAAAGCUCUGUGAUCGGGGACGCGGUACCCGAAUAGCAAGCCACGGCUAACUACGUCCCUGCAGCCGCGGUAAUACGUAGGUGGCAAGCGUUGUCCGGAAUUAUUGGGCGUAAAGCGCGCGCAGGCGGUUCUUAAGUCCAUCUUAAAAGUGCGGGGCUUAACCCCGUGAUGGGAUGGAAACUGAGA